rnacentral:lncRNA from 1 species
AUGGAGAGUAUUUAAUCAUUUAAAAAGUAGGCCAAAGAGACUUAUCUCAACCAUACUGCUAAAUAGUUAUGAGCUGCAUCAUACAUAAAUUAAGUGUGCUCUAACUGGGGGUAUGGAUAGACUCUUUCUUUAGUCAAUUAAGUGUUUACAGUAUUAGUAUCUACUUUAGUUAGUUAGAGUAAAGGAAUUAAAGAGACCAUUUUGCCAGUCACCAUGAGGUGUCUCAGUGUCUGAGGAGAAUUUGUGUGAACUGUCAGCUGAAAGCAUCGACAGCUUCCCAUUAGUAAUGAAUUAUGGAAAUAAUUUUAUUAAUUUCUUCACCUCAAUCAGAACAUGUUAGUGAAAGUUGCUCAACCAAACAUCAAAGAACCAUUGCAUUUUAACCUUUUAGUCUUUUACCGUGUAACCAGGAACAGCGAAGAAAUAAAUUAGUGUAGCAUUCCUUUAAAAAAAAAAUGCCUGGAGAUAAGGAGUGGACAUAAUUUUUUCUGUUUUUAAUUUAAUAGCAGGUUUAUGGUUUUAUGCAAAGCCAUUCACAUUACAUUUGACCCUCUGGGAGCUGCUUUUUUUUUUUUUCUGUGGAUAUAAUUUUGAGUCUUUAAUAAUCUGUUGUUAAACCCAGUCUGAGUUUGAUUAAUGAAUUGUGAUGAACCGGUGCAUUAAUUUGCAGGUUUGGUCUAAUGCCCUAAAAGGCUGCUUUGUUGCUGGUUAUUAAUGCUCAACUCUUCAAGAGGAGCCAUGGGAUGGCAGUGUGUCCCAAGUAAUGAACAAGUUACACAUUU